CAGUAGCCGCGGGAAUACAGAGGGUGCGAGCGUUAAUCGGAUUUACUGGGCGCAAAGCGUGCGUAGGCGGCUUCUUAAGUCGGAUGUGAAAUCCCUGAGCUUAACUUAGGAAUUGCAUUCGAUACUGGGAAGCUAGAGUAUGGGAGAGGAUGGUAGAAUUCCAGGUGUAGCGGUGAAAUGCGUAGAGAUCUGGAGGAAUACCGAUGGCGAAGGCAGCCAUCUGGCCUAAUACUGACGCUGAGGUACGAAAGCAUGGGGAGCAAACAGGAUUAGAUACCCGGGUAGUCCCUGUCUCUUAUAC
rnacentral:rRNA from 1 species